GCCGCUGUGGCGAAAUUGGCAGACGCAGCAGACUCAAAAUCUGCCGGUAGCAAUACCGUACCGGUUCAAGUCCGGUCAGCGGCA
rnacentral:tRNA from 4 species